AACGAACGCUGGCGGCGUGCUUAACACAUGCAAGUCGAACGCGAAAGGGGCUUCGGUCCUGAGUAAGUGGCGGCACGGGUGAGUAACGCGUGGAUAAUCUACCUGACAUACCGGGAUAACAUUUCGAAAGGGGUGCUAAUACCGGAUAAGACCACGAUUCCUUAGGGUAAUGGGGUAAAAGGUGGGGACCUUCGGGCCUACCGAUGUUGGAUGAGUCCGCGUACCAUUAGCUAGUUGGUGGGGUAAAGGCCUACCAAGGCGACGAUGGUUAGCUGGUCUGAGAGGAUGAUCAGCCACACUGGAACUGAGACACGGUCCAGACUCCUACGGGAGGCAGCAGUGGGGAAUUUUGCGCAAUGGGGGAAACCCUGACGCAGCAACGCCGCGUGAGUGAUGAAGGCCUUCGGGUCGUAAAGCUCUGUCAGAGGGGAAGAAGUGUGGGGUGGCUAAUAUCCAUUUCACUUGACGGUACCUUCAAAGGAAGCACCGGCUAACUCCGUG
rnacentral:rRNA from 1 species